rnacentral:lncRNA from 1 species
AGGUUUUAGUCCCCAAAACUGCCCCUAACCCCAAACACCAGUCGUUAAGUCAGGGCCUCUGGAACUUCUGACCCAUUGGCUUCAAAUUGGGAUUCCCAAAACCCCCUCCUCGGGUUUGAUUAAUUUGCGGGGGCAGCUCACAAAACUCAGGGAAAUUAAUUAUUCUAUUAUGUUUACUGGUUUAUUAUAAAGGAUAUUACCAAGGAUACAGAUAAGGAGAUGCAUAAGGCAAGAUAUGGGGAAAGAGGCUUCCAUGGAACAAAUAAAAAAUUUGUAUUCCAUUGGCUUAGAUUUAAAUUUUAUAUCUAUUUUAUCUUCAUACAUGUUAUGAUUUUCAAUACACAGUAGCAGAAAACUCAGGUUGAUUUUUCCUGCGCAAAACGAAAAAUUGAAGAUUGCACAAAUCAGUUUUCCUGAAGUGUAAGUAACUGCAAUCUUAAAGCAGUUGAAUGCUCUGCUAUAGAAAACUAGCAUGUGUAUGUGUAUACACACAUAUAUAUGUAUAUAAAUCUAUAUAUUGAAAUAUUUGCCUUAGUAAAAUCAUUGGGAUCUCUAAGAAUGGUAUCGAAUGGAAAGUCUGGGAAUUCUUAUCAGGAAUCCUCAUAAACUCAAGCCCUGGUGAAUAAAAAUAAUAGAAUGAAGGCCAGGAGUGGUGCCUUACACCUGAAAUCCCAGCACUUUGGGCGGCCAAGGCGGGCAGAUCGAUUGAGCCCAGGAGUUCAAGACCAGCCUGGGCAACAUUGCAAAAUCCUGUCUCUACAAAAAAUACAAAAACUAGCUGGGUCUGGUGGUGUGGGCCUUUUGUCCCAGUUACUUGGGAGGCUGAGGUGGGAAGACUGCUUGAGCCGGGGAAGUCAAGGCUACAGUGAGCCGUGUUCGUGCCACUGCAUUAUAGCCUGGAUGAAAGAGCAAGACUUUGUCUCCAAAAUUUAAAAAAGAAACCAAAAAAAUAAUAAAAAAGUAUA